GGCUGGUCCAAGUGCAGUGAUGUUUACAACUAACUGAUCACAACUAGUUGCAAAUUUCUUUGUUCCUUGCCAUUCCCACUGCUUCACUCAACUAGCCAUAA
ensembl:Y_RNA Y_RNA Y RNA